ACCUCACCUCCCUGAGUAACAGAGCCCAAGGGAAUUUGGAACCCAGGUCACUAGGCACCCACAUUCUGGACACAGGGCCCUCCUCAGCUCGUUUGUUCAGACACUGGCGUGUGAGCAGUAUGUUCUGUUGUGUGCCCAUAUCCCACUGCCGCCAGCUCAGGAGAGCCGACAGCGACAAUGGUUCCCGACCCUGGAGACAGGGCAAGGCUCUUGGGCAGGAUGCCUCAGGUCGCUAACUAGGAGGAAGGCUAAGUCACUGUCUUUACAGAGAUCAGAUGCUAUCGGCACGAGGUUGGCGGAGGUCAAGUUUCAUUCCGUGAUACCACUUGAUGUAUGCUGUGCGGCGCACAAGGGCCACCCUGGACUUGAGUCAGGUGCAGAAGCGGCUCCAGAGCCCGACCCAGCCCCAUCGGGGGCAUAGGGCAUCGGCAGCUCUGGAGGCAGGGGUGGCGUCUGCAGCGACUCCCACAGGGUCCCAGGAGCCUGCAGGUGACCCGGCACCUGGGCAGGGACAACAGGCCCCUGAGAACAGUCAGCCGGGUUCUGCUCCCGAACCGGCUUCUGCCCCUGCCCCUAACCCUCCUGUGCCUGCGCCUCCUCCUGCGCAUGCAAGCCUGGCAGCCACCCUGGGGGAGCCCGAAGCUCCUGGGGAGACCUGCGCUGCCCCUUCCCCCACCCCGAUACCGCGAGGAAUCGGGUAUUUCUACAUGUUUUUAAUAUUUUACUUGAAUCAUUAUACCCCCAAUAAUGUCAAAUAAAAAUUUUAAUUCCUGUA